GAAUAUUGCACAAUGGGCGAAAGCCUGAUGCAGCAACGCCGCGUGAGGGACGACGGCCUUCGGGUUGUAAACCUCUUUUAGUAGGGAAGAAGCGAAAGUGACGGUACCUGCAGAAAAAGCACCGGCUAACUACGUGCCCGCAGCCGCGGUAAUACGUAGGGUGCAAGCGUUGUCCGGAAUUAUUGGGCGGAAAGAGCUCGUAGGCGGUUUGUCGCGUCUGCUGUGAAAACUGGAGGCUCAACCUCCAGCCUGCAGUGGGUACGGGCAGACUAGAGUGCGGUAGGGGAGAUUGGAAUUCCUGGUGUAGCGGUGGAAUGCGCAGAUAUCAGGAGGAACACCGAUGGCGAAGGCAGAUCUCUGGGCCGUAACUGACGCUGAGGAGCGAAAGCGUGGGGAGCGAACAGG
rnacentral:rRNA from 1 species